rnacentral:misc_RNA from 1 species
GUGAAUCAUCAAAUCUUUGAACGCAUAUUGCACUCUCUGGUAUUCCGGAGAGUAUGCCUAUUUGAGGGUCAUUUGAAAUAAUAUAAAUUUUUCGAGAUUUUCUUGGAAUCAAAAAUGGUUCGGUCCAGCUUUCGUGUGGUGGUAGCCUAAAAUACAUGAUAAGCUCAUUCUUUGGGUUGCGUGAUACGUUCAGUUCCCUCGUGACUUCACAAGGUAUCUUCGAGCGUGUUAGGAAUUGUGCACGUGUUAUACUUUCAUUUUUCUCGAG